rnacentral:rRNA from 1 species
CCGCCAGAGAACAACGAGCAAAGCUUAAAACCCAAAGGACUUGGCGGCGCUUCAUAUCACCCUAGAGGGGCCUGUCACAUAAUCGAUAACCCACGAUAUACCUCACCACUUUUAGCCACAUCAGCCUAUAUACCGCCGUCGCCAGUUCAUCUCGAGGAAAGGAACAAAAUGAACUAAAAAGUAUAAACACUAAAACGACAGGUCAAGGUGUAGCUCAUAAAAUGGUAAAUGAUGGACCACAUUGCUUAAUAAAGCAACACCAAAACUGCACUGAAACAUACAUUUUAAGGUGAAUUUAACAGUAAGACAAACAAGAAAAUCUGUCUAAAGUAUGCUCUGAAGCGUGCACACACCGCCCGUCACCCUCAA